UACGGGGGGGGCAAGCGUUGUUCGGAUUUACUGGGCGUAAAGGGCGCGUAGGCGGUCAGCACAAGUCAGUUGUGAAAUCUCCGGGCUUAACUCGGAAAGGUCAACUGAUACUGUGCGACUAGAGUGCAGAAGGGGCAACUGGAAUUCUCGGUGUAGCGGUGAAAUGCGUAGAUAUCAGGAGGAACAACGAUGGCGAAGGCAGGUCUCUGGGCAUUAACUGACGCUGAGGAGCGAAAGCAUGGGGAGCGAACAGG
rnacentral:rRNA from 1 species